CUGAAUCUGUUAGAGGGGAUUUCUUGGAUUGCAGAAUCUGUGAAGUUGGAUUUUUAGUUCAGAAACGCCGUUCACCCAAGGGACAGCAGAAGCCAAACAAGCAUGCUACAAAUGACAGGCUGGAAACACAUGGACCGGAGAGGGGAAAUCCUGGUGGCCGGUGCAUCAAGUCAGCAACGUCUUCAGCCGUGGAUCACGCUGUCUGAGAGGUCAGUAGCUCACCUGUGCCCCUUCCUGCCCUCAACCACACAGAUGUUGGACACUCAUUGCCCAGUCAUCCAUCCACGUGAACAAUUGGCCUCGGAAGACGAUGGGGAGCCCAAAAGCUGAAACCACUGAAGCUGUGGGCCCAAGAGCCCACAAUGAGAGAGGCCCCCGCAAUGACAAGCCACAACUAGAGAGAGAAAGGACCCACCCCCCCACACACAGCAACAAAGACCCAGGGCAUCCAGAAAUAAAUAAAAUAAAAAAGUU